rnacentral:rRNA from 1 species
GAUGAACGCUGGCGGCGUGCCUAAUACAUGCAAGUCGAGCGAACAGACGAGGCGCUUGCUCCUCUGACGUUAGCGGCGGACGGGAGAGUCACACGAGGAUAACCUACUUAUCAGACUGGUAUAACUUCGGGAAACCGGAGCUAAUCCCGGAUAAUCUAUUGCACCGCAUGGUUGAAUGGUGAAAGACGGCUUUGCUGUCUCUUAUCGAUGGAUCCGCGCCGCAUUGGCUAGUUGGUAAGGUCACGGCUUACGACGGCGAGGAUGCGUGGCCGACGUGAGAGGGGGAUCGGCCACACUGGAACUUGGCCACGGUCCAUAGUCCUGCGGGAGGCAGCAGUAGGGAAUCGUCCGCAAUGGGCGAAAGCCUGACGGAGCAGCGCGGCGUGAGUGGUGAAGGUCUUCGGAUCGUAAAACUCUGUUAUUAGGGAAGAACAAAUUUGUAAGUAACUAUGCACUUCUUGACGGUAACGAGUCAGAAAGCCACGGCUAACUACGUG